rnacentral:rRNA from 1 species
UUCUGUAAGCCUGUGAAGGUGGCCUGUGAGGGUUGCUGGAGGUAUCAGAAGUGCGAAUGCUGACAUAAGUAACGAUAAAGCGGGUGAAAAGCCCGCUCGCCGGAAGACCAAGGGUUCCUGUCCAACGUUAAUCGGGGCAGGGUGAGUCGACCCCUAAGGCGAGGCCGAAAGGCGUAGUCGAUGGGAAACAGGUUAAUAUUCCUGUACUUGGUGUUACUGCGAAGGGGGGACGGAGAAGGCUAUGUUGGCCGGGCGACGGUUGUCCCGGUUUAAGCGUGUAGGCUGGUUUUCCAGGCAAAUCCGGAAAAUCAAGGCUGAGGCGUGAUGACGAGGCACUACGGUGCUGAAGCGACAAAUGCCCUGCUUCCAGGAAAAGCCUCUAAGCAUCAGGUAACAUCAAAUCGUACCCCAAACCGACACAGGUGGUCAGGUAGAGAAUACCAAGGCGCUUGAGAGAACUCGGGUGAAGGAACUAGGCAAAAUGGUGCCGUAACUUCGGGAGAAGGCACGCUGAUAUGUAGGUGAAGCGACUUGCUCGUGGAGCUGAAAUCAGUCGAAGAUACCAGCUGGCUGCAACUGUUUAUUAAAAACACAGCACUGUGCAAACACGAAAGUGGACGUAUACGGUGUGACGCCUGCCCGGUGCCGGAAGGUUAAUUGAUGGGGUUAGCGGUAACGCGAAGCUCUUGAUCGAAGCCCCGGUAAACGGCGGCCGUAACUAUAACGGUCCUAAGGUAGCGAAAUUCCUUGUCGGGUAAGUUCCGACCUGCACGAAUGGCGUAAUGAUGGCCAGGCUGUCUCCACCCGAGACUCAGUGAAAUUGAACUCGCUGUGAAGAUGCAGUGUACCCGCGGCAAGACGGAAAGACCCCGUGAACCUUUACUAUAGCUUGACACUGAACAUUGAGCCUUGAUGUGUAGGAUAGGUGGGAGGCUUUGAAGUGUGGACGCCAGUCUGCAUGGAGCCGACCUUGAAAUACCACCCUUUAAUGUUUGAUGUUCUAACGUGGGCCCCUUACCGGGGUUGCGGACAGUGUCUGGUGGGUAGUUUGACUGGGGCGGUCUCCUCCUAAAGAGUAACGGAGGAGCACGAAGGUUGGCUAAUCCUGGUCGGACAUCAGGAGGUUAGUGCAAUGGCAUAAGCCAGCUUGACUGCGAGCGUGACGGCGCGAGCAGGUGCGAAAGCAGGUCAUAGUGAUCCGGUGGUUCUGAAUGGAAGGGCCAUCGCUCAACGGAUAAAAGGUACUCCGGGGAUAACAGGCUGAUACCGCCCAAGAGUUCAUAUCGACGGCGGUGUUUGGCACCUCGAUGUCGGCUCAUCACAUCCUGGGGCUGAAGUAGGUCCCAAGGGUAUGGCUGUUCGCCAUUUAAAGUGGUACGCGAGCUGGGUUUAGAACGUCGUGAGACAGUUCGGUCCCUAUCUGCCGUGGGCGCUGGAGAACUGAGGGGGGCUGCUCCUAGUACGAGAGGACCGGAGUGGACGCAUCACUGGUGUUCGGGUUGUCAUGCCAAUGGCACUGCCCGGUAGCUAAAUGCGGAAGAGAUAAGUGCUGAAAGCAUCUAAGCACGAAACUUGCCCCGAGAUGAGUUCUCCCUGACUCCUUGAGAGUCCUGAAGGAACGUUGAAGACGACGACGUUGAUAGGCCGGGUGUGUAAGCGCAGCGAUGCGUUGAGCUAACCGGUACUAAUGAACCGUGAGGCUUAACCUU